CUCAAGAAGAGGUUGUUGGAGACGUCCACAACGAUGCAGCGCAGCAGGUGGAGGGUGUCCACGUGACCCUGCGCGUCGGUGAAAUCCCGCAGCUGGUCCAGUAGUUGCAAGCGGUCCCUAUUCCCGUCCAGAUGAACCUGCAGUAGGUAAGAAGGGGGCCGAUCCCCAUGCAGAAGGAAGGACCUAAGGAGACGCCGGGACGAAAUGCGGCAAUGAGCUCGAACGGCCGUGAUUCGUAUCACUCGCCUGGUACAGAGGAUUUGUAUGCACGAGUCCGAGCGGCGAGCAGCAGGCACAACAGGACCAGCAGCGUGGCGGUGGCUCCGGUCACGACCUCCGCAGUCGCAGUAAAAGGACUUGCAAAUUCACUGGACGCCCACACGCCCGGGGAAGGAAUCCAGAGGGCUCAAGCGGGCAUCAGACCGUGACCCCGACGACGUCGUGUCACGGAGGAGCAGUAAGACUCGCACCCAUCACGGGCCUCGAGUGCUCUAUCCACUCAAGUGGACGGACACAGCGGUCACGUGCAACAAACGCACCUCUUUCGGGUGGUCGGGCCAACCGUAUCGAUAAGGACACACUUGAGUGUCCAUAGCAGUAGUAGCCUGCCGUUCAACGGACACCUGUGGCAAGUAACGAGCCACAUGAGGGUAACAGAUGCUCAAAAGAAAAACACUAAGCCGCUAUAUAAAGCAAUCCACGCUAAGCCGUGCUAUACAGAGCAUCAUUUGCGUCACGCUUGAUUUUUAAACGCUAUAGAUGCAGAGUUGCCGUAGUCACGCGCCGUACCGCAGUCGGCAUGACGGAGACGACCUAACCGACGUUGGGUGAUUUGCAAACGAACGGCUUGCGUUCGUUUUAGUCUUUAUUGUUUUUACUAUGUGAAAUGUUUCACUUAAUUAAAUGUGACGCGUGUCGAGAGUCACUCUUUUGUGCCAGCUAAUCUGAAUCUUCCUGCCAUUACGUGAAGACGAUACAGGAAGCGUAAAGGGACGAAGAACCCACGUGCUUUGGAUAUAACUGCGCUCCGUUCACUGCAGGCGCAGCCAUCUCUAGUGUCGCCGAACGAUUCCGCGCCUUUCUGUCUUUCAUUUAGUGUUUCUUUACUUCCGUCAGGCUGGAACAUUAGUUGCGUAACAGUAACUGUACAUAAACAGAUGGAGCGGCACACAAUGAUCCAAUUCACACGGCUUUGUAGGCACGACGCAAAGAAGGCGAUGAAUUGAAGAUUUGUUUUGUUCUGGGACUUUUUUUUGAUCCCAAACAUUCCGUAAUGGAACCGGAACGGGCCUCCCAUGUCGUCCCUAUGCUCGUGAAGACCCUUUAAUCUGAAAAUCACAAAACUCGGUGCCAGGGAUAGGCAUUGUACGCCGUCACGUACGGAACAGCUGCUGUCGCCGUACCCGUUUAGUUUUUCAAGUCGUCGAUUCGACUCGCAUCCGUAUCAUCAUUCUGGUACCGGGUACUCGGAUCUCUUCCUAAAUUGUAUGACCCUCUCUGGUGUCUGGGCUCCCCCUUUGGGGGUCUAGUUAGGGUCAGGGCUUCCUCUGCCGGCCCCUGGAGGACAGGCUCAACCUUUUGAUCCGGUUAGGGUUUCCUCUGCUCCCCCCCGGAGGACGGGUUCCUCCUUUGAGUCUGGUUAGGGUUAGGACUUCCUCUGCCGCCCCCUGGUGGACGGGCUCCCCCUUUGGGGGUCUGAUUAGGGUUUGGGCUUCCUCUGCUGCCCCCCGGAGGAUGGACUUCCCCUUUGGGUCUGGUUCCUCCCAAGGGUUUUUGCUUCUAGGGAGUUUUUCUUUGCCGCUGUACCCUCUGGCUUGCUCUCCUGGGGGCUUUGGGCGGGGAUGCCGUAAAGCACUUU